UCCCUUUCUUUUUAUUCUUCCUUGAUCAAAUCUUAUAUUUUUAAUAGAUAUUGGGCCUCCCAUCUUUCUCAACCUGGAAGCAAAGUGCUCAAUCAUCUCCUAUAACCUUAUUAACUGGUCAGGGAGAGCUAAACUGUUACCUCUUAUGAUUGAGUUGGUUGGCCCUUCCUUAGGCAGUCUGGUGACCUCCUUAUCCUGGGAGGGAGUUACCAAGUGUGGACAUUCUGCUGCAGAACUCCCCAGUUUUCAGUGAUCUACCAGCCCCAGCCUCGAUGGAGGAACAAGGAAAAGUUCUAAAGGCCUGGCAGGACAAGAAUGAGGAGGGCGGCUGUGUCAGGGGAAGUUCUGUGUGAGAGUGAGCUAAAGAGAUCUAUAAAUACACAGGUAUUUUGUCAGCCCCAAGAGACUUGAUAAUUCUGAGAAGACUGGAGCUGUUUCCCAAUCCCACUCCCACCUCUCUGAAUUCCUUUCUUCAGCUGUUGAGAAUCUGAGACCUCUCUUCCCUGCCUACUGGAUGAAUCACUUUUGUCUUAAAGCUCAGAGUAGGGGUCCCCUCUUGUUUGGACUCCCUACCCUUCAUUCUCCCUGGGAUGGUUCAAGACAGCUGGGGCUCUCCUACCUCUGCCCUCUUUUCCCUUUGUCUUCCCUAAGCCCUGAAUCCAAACUAUUCUAAUUGGCCACGUCUCAGCUCCAUCUGAAGCAGUCUCAUUUUCCUGAAUCAGACAUUUUUGUGGGAUGAAAUCACCCCCGGCUAAACCAGCUUAAGCUGGGAUCUUGCUGUAUCAGGCCCUCCCCCGUCCCUCCCUGCCUCUGCCACGUCUCCUAUACCUCUGGCUCAUCUCAGCAAAGCACUGUAGGUCUUUAUGAUUUUUCCUUUUAAAUGUUCAAGAAUAAUCUAGAGAGGAAAGUCAAGGCCAUAGGGAAGUAAGGAGAAUAGACAGAGAGAUAGAAACAGAGAGAUUAUGGUAAACACAGUAAGACAGGAGAGUAUAGGUAAUGGGAUAAAAAAAAAGUUGGGGGUGCAGGAAGAUGGGGGAGUCUGAUUGGAUUCUGGCAACCUGGAAAAGCCAGGAAGGUGUCAAGACGCCAGAAAAGGGAGGGAGAAGCUUCCUAAGGCCUCUUAGCCAUGCCUGGCAUUUCUAAACCCUCUGUCCACAUUCCACUGGGGGAGGCAGGCUUCUCCCUAGAGUUCAUCAACUUGACUGAUCCUGCUGGCUUAGAGAGACCCACUAUUCAGGCAUCCUCUUGGGCAGUGAACUUCUGGGAAGCUAAAGUUUAUCCCUUGAAUCAGGUCCACUUGACCCUCCCAAGAACCAACAGGUACUAAAAGCAGAGGUCUUUAGCCAGGAAUCUGUGAA